AUUCUCUCGAUCAAUGGCGGCCGUGGCUCUAGCUCUUCUUCAAAGACAUUUUUCUCAAAUCUUACCCUAAAUAGUCUCCUUCUUCAUAGAUCUUUUCUUCUUCAAAGACAUUUUUCUCAAAUCUUACUCUAAAUAAGUUUCCUUCUUCAUAGAUCUUUCUCUUCGAUCCAUUCACACUGUCAUCUCUUACGACCUUCACAAGACUUCCUUACUCCCAUUUAUAGAUCUACGGACCAAAGAUCGGGAAAGAAAUUUUUAAGGGUGCUGCUGAAAUAGUUUUAGCUUCCUGCACCAGAUAUAUCAAUGAAGAUGAUCUCUUGGUACCGAUGGAUGAAGACAAGAAUCCUUGUCGACCUGGUGUCAGAGAAGUUGUUCGGCUAUGUACAAAUGUUGGAGUUAAGGUGCGCAUGGUCAUUGGGGAUAAUAUCCAAACAGCUAGAGCUAUAUCCCUAGAAUGUGGGAUACUAGAAUCAGAUGCAGACACUACUGUACGAAAUGUCAUUGAAGGGAAAGAUUUUCGUGCAUUAUCCGA